UUGAGAUCAUGCAAUAAGAGUGGUCAUCAUCACAACGAAGCUGAUGGGGGUAGUUUUGGGUUUUCCCCCUCAUCCAAGACGACUAUGAGGAGAAAUGGGAGUAGUUUUUCCAGUCUCGCUCAAGCUGCUGCGCCUACUCAUCAUCAUCUCUGGGGAAGUAUAUAUGAGAGUUUAAAGCAAGCUGUGGCAUGGAAAAGCACAAGAAAAUCAAAGAAAGAAAGGAUACGUAUCAAGGAGUACGAAAUUAUAUAUUAAGUAUAGUAUAAACAUGCUCUUAGCUUCCUCUAAUCUAAUAUAAAGCAGCUUCAGCAUUAUUUAUAUAGUAAUACAUAUUUUAUUCUUGCAUGAAUCACAAAGAUAUUGUAAGAUUUGUAUGAGUGGUAGUCAAAUUUUGAUUUGUAAGAAAUUAUUGAUGUA